rnacentral:rRNA from 2 species
AAUACGACUCUCGGCAACGGAUAUCUCGGCUCUCGCAUCGAUGAAGAACGUAGCGAAAUGCGAUACUUGGUGUGAAUUGCAGAAUCCCGUGAACCAUCGAGUCUUUGAACGCAAGUUGCGCCCGAGGCCUUUCGGCCGAGGGCACAUCUGCUUGGGCGUUAA